CAAUAGCGUAUAUUAAAGUUGUUGCAGUUAAAAAGCUCGUAGUUGGAUUUCUGAUCGAGACAUCAGGUCGGGUCCGAGAGGAUCAUGUACUUUGAUUUGUUUUGAUCAUCCUUGGGGAGAGCAUUUCUGGCAUUCAGUUGUCGGGAUUGGGAUCCUCAUCGUUUACUGUGAAAAAAUUAGAGUGUUCAAAGCAGGCCUCGGCCUCUGAAUACAUUGGCAUGGAAUAAUAAGAUAGGACUUUGGUGGUCUAUUUUGUUGGUUUGCACGCCAAAGUAAUGAUUAAUAGGGAUAGUUGGGGGUAUUCGUAUUCAAUUGUCAGAGGUGAAAUUCUUGGAUUUAUGGAAGACGAACUACUGCGAAAGCAUUUACCAAGGAUGUUUUCAUUAA
rnacentral:rRNA from 1 species